CUAAGAAUCUUCCGCAAUGGGCGAAAGCCUGACGGAGCGACGCCGCGUGGACGAUGAAGGCCGGAAGGUUGUAAAGUCCUUUUCUUCACGAAGAAUAAGGUGGGGAGUGGAAAGCCCUGCUGAUGACGUUAGUGGGGGAAUAAGCCCCGGCCAAUUACGUGCCAGCAGCCGCGGUAACACGUAUGGGGCAAGCGUUGCUCGGAAUUAUUGGGCGUAAAGGGCGUGUAGGCGGCCUGUUAAGCUUGGCGUGAAAGACCCUGGCCCAACUGGGGUUGUGCGCUGAGAACUGGCAGGCUUGAGUUUAGGAGGGGGAGCUGGAAUUCCAGGUGUAGGGGUGAAAUCUGUAGAUAUCUGGAAGAACACCGGUGGCGAAGGCGAGCUCCUGGCCAUAGACUGACGCUGAGGCGCGAAAGCGUGGGGAGCGAACAGGAUUAGAUACCCUGGUAGUCCACGCCCUAAACGGUGGGCAUUAGGUGUAGGGCUCGUAAGGGCUCUGUGCCGAAGGGAAACCAUUAAAUGCCCCGCCUGGGGAGUACGGCCGCAAGGUUG
rnacentral:rRNA from 1 species